rnacentral:rRNA from 1 species
AGUUUGAUCCUGGCUCAGGAUGAACGCUGGCGGCGUGCCUAAUACAUGCAAGUCGAACGCUUUGUGGUUCAACUGAUUUGAAGAGCUUGCUCAGGUAUGACGAUGGACAUUGCAAAGAGUGGCGAACGGGUGAGUAACACGUGGGAAACCUACCUCUUAGCAGGGGAUAACAUUUGGAAACAGAUGCUAAUACCGUAUAACAAUAGCAACCGCAUGGUUGCUACUUAAAAGAUGGUUCUGCUAUCACUAAGAGAUGGUCCCGCGGUGCAUUAGUUAGUUGGUGAGGUAAUGGCUCACCAAGACGAUGAUGCAUAGCCGAGUUGAGAGACUGAUCGGCCACAAUGGGACUGAGACACGGCCCAUACUCCUACGGGAGGCAGCAGUAGGGAAUCUUCCACAAUGGGCGAAAGCCUGAUGGAGCAACGCCGCGUGUGUGAUGAAGGGUUUCGGCUCGUAAAACACUGUUGUAAGAGAAGAAUGACAUUGAGAGUAACUGCUCAAUGUGUGACGGUAUCUUACCAGAAAGGAACGGCUAAAUACGUGCCAGCAGCCGCGGUAA